CCCAAGAAGUUACAGUAGAGAAAGAAUGUGAACCAUCUGCUGUUGUCACAAUAGUUGACAGCCACUAAAUACAGGCCAGGCACUACAAAACACUACAGGACCUUUACAAGAAACCAAAGCCAAAUAAAUUUGCAGUUACCCAGCUCCUUGAUCAUGAAUUUAAUGCACAGAGGUCAUUUAUAGAUUAUAUGGGAGGCUUACCCAUGCUUUAAAGAACUGGAUCAUGUAAUGGAUCAAAUGCGUUGUAUUCUUAGUUGGAAUAAUCUUAACUACAUCACAGAAGUUAAGAGCAGAUGGACCAGUUUUUAUGGAAAAG